rnacentral:tRNA from 1 species
GUAAGAUUAGUUUAUAAAAAUAUAAAGUUUCGACCUUUAAGUUCUCUAAACCUAGAGAUCAUACU